rnacentral:rRNA from 1 species
AUGGACAAGUUGGCAGCUGGAACCACAUGGUUGGCCAUAGCUAUUUUUGUCAUAUCUGUUAUAGCCACCAAGAUUUCAAGAUGGAAAAGCAAUGCCCAUCUGUCCAGAAGACCACUUCCGCCUGUUGUAAAUGUCCUUGCUCUGUUACCUUCGCUCUUUAACAAGGGUUUCUGGGUUACAAUCAAUGAUCUGUAUACAAGGUUUGGUACUGUAUUUACUGUAAAUUUGUUUGGACCAAAGAUAACCAUGUUGGUUGGACCGGAGGUCUCAGCUCAUUUCUUCCAAGGUCUGGAGUCAGAGAUAAGCUUUGGUAAUUUCGCCGAGGUCACCAUUCCCCUUUUUGGCCAAGAAGUUCUUUAUGCUGUAGAUACCGCAACUCGCAACGAGCAAGUAAAUUUCGUCAUUGAUGUAUUAUUGCCAUCAAAGAUGCGGAGCCUCGUUGAUCCCAUAUCGCAGGAAGUAGAGGCCUACUUUGCAAAGUGGGGACAAGAUGGCAUAGUUGAUCUUAAACAUGAACUUGAGCAGGUGCUCAUGUUUAUCUCAUGUCGGUGCCUACUCGGAUAUGAGAUUCAGGAGAUGAUGAUGGAAGAAAUAUACUCAUUGUUCCAUGAACUUGGGAAGGGCUUAAACUUUUUCAGUUACUUGUUCCCACAUAUGCCAACUCCAACAAACCAACGACGCGACAAGGCACACAUCAGGCUGAAGGAAAUAUUCACCAAAAUCAUCAGGUCACGUAGAAGCUCCAACCGAGUUGAGGAGGAUGUACUACAGAGGUUGAUGGAUUCCAAGUACAAAGAUGGUCGCUCCACAACAGAAGCAGAAAUUUCCGGCAUAAUCAUGGCCCUCGUCUUUGCUGGAAAACACUCGAGCACUGCCGCUAGUACAUGGACUGGAGCUUUCAUGUUGAGCAACACCAAGUUCUUAAUAGCUGCCAUGGAGGAGCAAAAGCAUAUCAUUAGCAAGUACGAGAACCAAAUAGACUACAAUGCCUUGUUAGAGAUGGAUACCCUGCAUAGAUGCAUUAAGGAGGCAAUGAGGAUGCAUACUCCAUCGCAAAUGUUAAUUCGCAAGGCACAUAAGAACUUCAAGGUGCAGGCCAAGGAAGGCAAAGAAUAUGACAUACCUAAAGGGCAUAACAUUGUAAUCCCCACGGCACUCAACAAUAAGUUGGCACACGUUUAUAGUAACCCUCAUGUGUAUGAUCCAGAUCGAUUUGGUCCUGGAAGAGAGGAGGACAAAGUUGGUGGCAAGUUCUCUUUGACGACAUUUGGUGGUGGAAGGCAUAUUUGCCCUGCCAUGGCCUAUGCUUACUUUCAAAUUAAAUUGGUAUGGAGCCAUCUGCUAAGAAACUUUGAGCUCAGGCUAAUAUCUCCUUUCCCUGAGGCAGAUUUUAGCAAGUUGGGCCAAGAGCCUAAAGGAAAAGUAAUGAUAAGUUAUAAGAGACAUUAG